rnacentral:tRNA from 1 species
GCAAUGGUGGUUCAGUGGUAGGAGUCUCUUCUUCCAUGAGGGAGACCUAGGUUCAAUUCUUGGCCAAAGCA